AUUGAACGCUGGCGGCAGGCCUAACACAUGCAAGUCGAACGAGUGGCGGACGGGUGAGUAAUGUCUGGGAAACUGCCUGAUGGAGGGGGAUAACUACUGGAAACGGUAGCUAAUACCGCCUACCAUCAGCUGUGCCCAGAUGGGAUUAGCUUGUUGGUGGGGGAACGGCUCACCAAGGCGACGAUCCCUCGCUGGUCUGAGAGGAUGACCGGCCAAACGGGAACGGAGACACGGUCCAGACUCCUACGGUGGGCAGCGGUGGGGAAUAUUGCACAUGGGGCGAAAGCCUGAUGCAGACAUGCGGCGGGUAUGAAGAAGGCCUUCGGGUUGUAAAGUACUUUCAGCGGGGAGGCGUUACCCGCAGAAGAAGCACCGGCUAACUCCGUGCCAGCAGCCGCGGUAAUUC
rnacentral:rRNA from 1 species